CAGGUAGAGAAUACCAAGGCGCUUGAGAGAACUCGGGUGAAGGAACUAGGCAAAAUGGUGCCGUAACUUCGGGAGAAGGCACGCUGAUAUGUAGGUGAAGCGACUUGCUCGUGGAGCUGAAAUCAGUCGAAGAUACCAGCUGGCUGCAACUGUUUAUUAAAAACACAGCACUGUGCAAACACGAAAGUGGACGUAUACGGUGUGACGCCUGCCCGGUGCCGGAAGGUUAAUUGAUGGGGUUAGCGGUAACGCGAAGCUCUUGAUCGAAGCCCCGGUAAACGGCGGCCGUAACUAUAACGGUCCUAAGGUAGCGAAAUUCCUUGUCGGGUAAGUUCCGACCUGCACGAAUGGCGUAAUGAUGGCCAGGCUGUCUCCACCCGAGACUCAGUGAAAUUGAACUCGCUGUGAAGAUGCAGUGUACCCGCGGCAAGACGGAAAGACCCCGUGAACCUUUACUAUAGCUUGACACUGAACAUUGAGCCUUGAUGUGUAGGAUAGGUGGGAGGCUUUGAAGUGUGGACGCCAGUCUGCAUGGAGCCGACCUUGAAAUACCACCCUUUAAUGUUUGAUGUUCUAACGUUGGCCCGUAAUCCGGGUUGCGGACAGUGUCUGGUGGGUAGUUUGACUGGGGCGGUCUCCUCCUAAAGAGUAACGGAGGAGCACGAAGGUUGGCUAAUCCUGGUCGGACAUCAGGAGGUUAGUGCAAUGGCAUAAGCCAGCUUGACUGCGAGCGUGACGGCGCGAGCAGGUGCGAAAGCAGGUCAUAGUGAUCCGGUGGUUCUGAAUGGAAGGGCCAUCGCUCAACGGAUAAAAGGUACUCCGGGGAUAACAGGCUGAUACCGCCCAAGAGUUCAUAUCGACGGCGGUGUUUGGCACCUCGAUGUCGGCUCAUCACAUCCUGGGGCUGAAGUAGGUCCCAAGGGUAUGGCUGUUCGCCAUUUAAAGUGGUACGCGAGCUGGGUUUAGAACGUCGUGAGACAGUUCGGUCCCUAUCUGCCGUGGGCGCUGGAGAACUGAGGGGGGCUGCUCCUAGUACGAGAGGACCGGAGUGGACGCAUCACUGGUGUUCGGGUUGUCAUGCCAAUGGCACUGCCCGGUAGCUAAAUGCGGAAGAGAUAAGUGCUGAAAGCAUCUAAGCACGAAACUUGCCCCGAGAUGAGUUCUCCCUGAGACUUUAAGUCUCCUGAAGGAACGUUGAAGACGACGACGUUGAUAGGCCGGGUGUGUAAGCGCAGCGAUGCGUUGAGCUAACCGGUACUAAUGAACCGUGAGGCUUAACC
rnacentral:rRNA from 1 species